UGGGGAAUAUUGGACAAUGGGCGCAAGCCUGAUCCAGCAAUGCCGCGUGUGUGAAGAAGGCCUUCGGGUUGUAAAGCACUUUUGUCCGGAACGAAAAGCGAUGGAUUAAUACUCUGUCGUGCUGACGGUACCGGGUGAAUAAGCACCGGCUAACUUCGUGCCAGCAGCCGCGGUAAUACGAAGGGUGCAAGCGUUAAUCGGAAUUACUGGGCGUAAAGCGUGCGUAGAUGGCUGAUUAAGUCGGAUGUGAAAGCCCCGGGCUCAACCUGGGAAUGGCAUCCGAUACUGGUUGGCUAGAGUGCGGUAGAGGAGAGCGGAAUUCCCGGUGUAGCGGUGAAAUGCGUAGAGAUCGGGAGGAACAUCCGUGGCGAAGGCGGCUCUCUGGACCAGCACUGACGUUGAGGCACGAAAGCGUGGGGAGCAAACAGG
rnacentral:rRNA from 1 species